rnacentral:rRNA from 1 species
AGUGAACGCUGGCGGUAGGCCUAACACAUGCAAGUCGAACGGCAGCACAGUAAGAGCUUGCUCUUACGGGUGGCGAGUGGCGGACGGGUGAGGAAUACAUCGGAAUCUACUUUUUCGUGGGGGAUAACGUAGGGAAACUUACGCUAAUACCGCAUACGACCUACGGGUGAAAGCAGGGGAUCUUCGGACCUUGCGCGAUUGAAUGAGCCGAUGUCGGAUUAGCUAGUUGGCGGGGUAAAGGCCCACCAAGGCGACGAUCCGUAGCUGGUCUGAGAGGAUGGACCGGCCACACGGAAAUGGAGACACGGUCCGAACUCCUAGGGGGGGCGGAGGUGGGAAAUUUUGGACAUUGGGCGCAGGCCGAAUCCAGCCAUACGGGGUGGGUGAGGAGGGCCUUCGGUUGUAAAGCCCUUUUGUUGGGAAAGAAAAGCAGCAGGUUAACACCCCGCUGUUCUGACGGUACCCAAAGAAUAAGCACCGGCUAACUUCGUG